CAGGUUUAAGUGGAAUGAAGUACAAAUAGAGCUGGGUAAGCCAGAACAUUGUUAGGAGCUUAUUAGGCCUGUUCAAAGCAUAGCAAACAUUUAUUUAAUAGUCAGAAUAAGAGUGGUGCAUUGAAAGUUUUGUUUUUAUUCUAACAACACUUUCUAGGGUUCAUUGAAAAGACCAAGGUGGAGAUAGGGAGUCUAGAGAAGCUCAGGAAUCAUCCAGGCAAGCAGCCAGGGCACUAGAAAUGAAAAACAGAGCAGCAUUUUAUUAGAAAAAGGCUUCAUUAAGACUUGAUGCCUAGAGGUAUGAUGCUGAGCAGGGAGGACUCAAACAUGACCUUGAGGAUUUGGGCUCAGUCCUGGAGGUACUGACACCAUAGUUAUAGGCAAGAAAAGCAGCAUUGGAUGGAGAUGAUUAAUUCAGUCCGGGAUAUGUUGAUUGCAGAUACAAGAUAUUCAAUUGAAAGUACUUUUCUUUACUAAGGUAAAAAUUUUUCUCCCUGCUUACCCAACUCCAAAAUGAUCUCUCCUUUUUUGAAUUCCUUUUGGACUCCUAUCAGGCCACAGAAUUGGUAUAUUGAAGAGCACUGUAAUUACAGUGGAGCUUUCCAAGUCCCACUCCUGAAUAUUAUUAAAAUGCCACUUGGUGAUUGAUAUGCUCAUAAGGCAGACACCCCUCAAAUGGUGCUUUGUAUCAUCUCUGUUAUUAGCUACUCUUUAUGGAUUGCUCUCACCAUUAGGAUUGUGUUUAACCUUUAGUAACCGAACAUUUGACCUUCAGUGACUGAAGAAGAGGUAAAUUUCCUUACUUGAAAAGAAUUCUGGAGUCUGGAAAGUAGAAAACUGCUUAUUUGAGCUCAUAUCAGAUACUUGACAAUAUCAGAGUCAGCUUCUCCAGUCUUCUGGUCACAAGAUGGCUGCUGCAGCUCCAGAUAUCCCACCCAAAUCCAAGGAAGAAGGGAAGGGAAGUUAGACCAGCCAAGUUAUCAUCUUUUAUUAGGAAUAGAAUAACAUUUCUAGAAUCCCUAGAAGACUUCCUUAAUCAUCACUUUGCCUGGAUCAAUGCUACAUGGCCACCUCUAGUUUCAAAGGAAUCUUGGUUAGGCUGGUCACGUUGCCAGACCUAGCAAGGAGGAAGAGUGGAACGGAUACUGACAGUGUCUCCAACACUUGCCGUUUAUGCUGCACUGUAACCCUUUGAAGGCAGGUAUCAUGUUACCUCAGGCCCUACUCCCACGUUGUGCAGUGCUGUCCUCCCCACCAGGCACUUUGCUGGACAUACAGGGGUCUGAGAUGAGAAAUGUUUUAGGAACCAAUCCUUGCCUAGUAUGCUAAGACAUCCUUUUGUCUUUCGGUUCCUCUGAGCAGCCUUAGGAAAGGAAUGUAGGAGUUUCUGAUAAAUGUUUAGAAAUACUUUUUUAAUACCCUUCAAAAAAAGGGGGGGGGGCGCUCAGAGGGAGAGAAGAAAAAGACUCCAUACUGGGAGGAAAUCUAUGCUCCUGUAAAAAUAGAAUAGGCUCAAGUGCAUUCUUCAGUAAUGAAUGCAUGAAAAGAAGCUUCUUAAAUUAUGAAUGUGGCUUCUCUUGUUUAUUGCCCAGUAAUCCUGUGUUAUUGAUUUCUGUUUAUUUCCAAUCACCUAGAAUGAGAGGCUGUGUAGUUUAGAGAUCUUGAUCUCUAAAAGAUUGUCAUGAAAGACUCUCUGCUGUAUUUAGCUGUUUAUUUUUUGCUCUAAGUGAUUGAAUCAAUACAAAUACAAACAAAACACUUUUUCUUUUGCUCCUAGUCUUCUAGCCUGGGGGGUGGGGUGGAAUCAAGACAGAGAAGCUAAAUAAAGAUGCCCAAAUUAAAAAACAAAAAGUCCCAUCAAAUGGCAUAUUGAUUUCUUUCAAAGAGGCAGAGUGUAAAUUAAAAAUAUUCUUCUGACACUGUUUUUAAAGAUGCCCCUGACUCAGCAGAAUCAGUGAUACUGACAGUUCUCGUCCCAGAGGGAUAGUUUUCCCCAAAUGAGCCAGCUCUCCAGGUUCUCAGAGGAAAACACUCACAGUCAAUGCUAGCAAAACUCCAUGAUUCCAUCUGAUCUCUUCUCAGUUCUGGUUUUGCCAUCCACCACUGCCUCUGCGUGUGUUUAAGGACAUUGUAAAGUUUUUCAGAAAAUUAUGCUAUCAUGAUUCUUAAAGUGGUUUCAUCAAAACCCUUCUCAGAAUUGGACAAAGUGGGACUAAACAAGUCUUGGGAUCUUACUCUGGGAUAUUCUUUGGAAUGUUGUUAAACACCGGUCUAGGCAGAUCUGGAGGAGAGGAGAGGCAGAAGGCAUGGCAGUGGAAGAGCCAUCCCAGUACAGGUGUUCUUUCUCCCAGAGACCCCUUGAGACAGUCAUGCUAGUUAAGAUCUACAGUCAUGCGCUCAGAAACGAAACGCAAAAACUCAGUUUUAGGAGCAUAAACUAUUUGUCAUAAUUUGCCUUUCUGAAAGCCACAUCAGAUCCCUUUGGCCUGUUCAAAAAUAUUUUGCAGUCUUGUUCCACAAGGGCAGCUGUGAAAUUUGCGGGGAUUAAUGUAAAAUAAAACCCCUUGUUCGGAGAACAGAAAAAAAAAAAA
rnacentral:lncRNA from 1 species